UCUCUGUAUCCUGCUGGACUAUAUGCCCUUUAAAGCAAGUAGAGCACAUUACUCAUCACUCAAUCUCCAGGACCAAGUUAAUGUUCUGUAUAUAGUAAUGUCGACAGCAACAUCUCCCCCAGGUGUAACAACUAAACGUGUCUCCAGACAUUGGCAAAUAUCCUUGGGCCAUGGAGAAAACAUCACCUUCAAUUGAAAACCACUGGGCCACUCUAAUGCCUUCAAGGAAGCCAAGAGUCUCAGGCCCUUCGCCCUUGCUUCUCAGAAAAGAACAGCUAACCAUUGCCAACCAGAAUGCAUAGAAACUGAACUACUUCUGUGUCUGCAAUUGUCAUCUUGGACAAAUUACCUAAACUGCUUGGGCUGAGAUAUGUGAAUUCAGAUAUUGAAGCUUAUUUAUACCUUCAUAAUUCUAUGCUUCCAUAAUGAUUAAAUCCACCAUAGUAAUA
rnacentral:lncRNA from 1 species